GGAAGGACAUUAGCUUGUUGUCUCCGGCUUUCUAGAAUUGCAUUAGCUUCAACAUGGGCAAUGGCGAAAACAUUCGCUGUUGGGAGGAUGCGUGGCUUAGAUACCAGCUGCUUUGUUCCAUGUUUGAAGUCUUGUAUGAGAGAGUGGUCGAAAGAAAUGUUUCUGUUAGCUCACAAUGGAAAAACAGAAGCAUGACUUGGAAUAUUCAACUUCGUCAACCCCUUACCCA
rnacentral:lncRNA from 1 species